rnacentral:lncRNA from 7 species
ACAGCCACAUUUUAACUCAGCUGCCAUGCUCACACCACCACCAGGCACACCUCCCACCAGCUGCUCUUCAAUGAGGGCACUUAUUACUCCAGGAGAAAAUCACCUGUGUAGUAUCAGACUGCUGUUUUUCUUGAGGUAAGAGGUUAUUCACAGACCUGCAAUAAAAUUACAGGAACCAGCUUUCUUCUUUUUAGCCUCCUACAGCCCAAGCAUGGCGGCCUGCUGGCUGCGGCACAGCGCCGUAACCUCUGCACGCAGCCACUUGAACAGGGUUCAAGGCAAUGACUUCACAUGGAGGCAGAGUGCGAAUGGCUUUAAACCACCGCAGCAGUGAUAUAAAAUUGCGGCGUGGCAGCAGGGGGGGCCCUGCAGCCUCACAGCGGGGAGAAGGGGUCUGGGAACAGCCCUCCACAGGGGCAGGCAGAUGUCAGAGGGAAAACAAAAGAGGAUCCGAAGCCUUCUCCUCUGAGCAUCACCUGCAUCCACACAUCGCUCUGUCGGCCACCUCCAGAGCCCUGAGGGCGCAGCAGUUCACCCCUCAGAAGUGAAAAGGAAGGGAUAAAGAGCAGCAACCCGGAAUUUCUGUUCUGUGAGAAAUUCCUGUAUUCCGACAGUCUCUUUGUGCAGGAGGGAAAUGGGAUCUUAAAGGGUUCUUGUAAAACUGAAGUGGUGAGGACACGUUAUCAAAAUGUUCCAUUUUAAUGACGCGCUGUGUUGUAGUCUGAGGGCAUUAAAACAAUCCAAACGUAACAAAACAUAAAGCAAAGCAUGUAACAAACAUGAGAACCACGCCACAAACGCAAAGUAGGAGCCUGAGCAAAUUAAAACAUAUCAGCAUCCUCAAAACCAAACAGUUCAGCAUUACACCAGCAAGGAUGAAAGUCAAAUGAGUCGCUGGAACGCGCUGUGUCUCAAAGCGGAGCAACCAACAGUAUUCCUACGGAAAACUCCAUUUCCAUUCACACUGCACUGAGCUGUUUGAACAUGUUGUGACUGCCAGCACUCAGGAUAUUGCUGCCACCACGACCUCCCCUGCCAAGGUGAUGCAGCGAGCAGCACAGCGCUACUCCUCCUGACGGAAGGAAACCCUAAGAUCUAUAUUUUCUAUAAAAUUGCCUUAUUUCUCAGCCAAGAUACUAUAAGCAGAGGUAAAGCGAAGCUAUUGCUACUGAGACCUCCUUACUGUAAGAAAACAUACCGCAGUGCAUUUACUGAUAUGCUAUGAAAUCACAUAAAUCAUUCUGACAACAUGAUACUUGUCAA